rnacentral:rRNA from 1 species
UACGUAGGGGGCUAGCGUUGUCCGGAAUCAUUGGGCGUAAAGAGCGCGUAGGCGGCUAGAUAAGUCCGGUGUGAAACCUCCAGGCUCAACCUGGAGACGCCACCUGAUACUGCCGUGGCUAGAGUCCGGUAGAGGAGCGUAGAAUUCCUGGUGUAGCGGUGAAAUGCGCAGAUAUCAGGAGGAAUACCAGCGGCGAAGGCGGCGCUCUGGGCCGGUACUGACGCUGAGGAGCGAAAGCGUGGGGAGCAAACAGG